GAUGAACGCUGGCGGCGUGCCUAAUACAUGCAAGUCGAGCGAACGGACGAGAAGCUUGCUUCUCUGAUGUUAGCGGCGGACGGGUGAGUAACACGUGGAUAACCUACCUAUAAGACUGGGAUAACUUCGGGAAACCGGAGCUAAUACCGGAUAAUAUUUUGAACCGCAUGGUUCAAAAGUGAAAGACGGUCUUGCUGUCACUUAUAGAUGGAUCCGCGCUGCAUUAGCUAGUUGGUAAGGUAACGGCUUACCAAGGCAACGAUGCAUAGACGACCUGAGAGGGGGAUAGGCCACACGGGAACGGAGACACGGUCCAGACGCCUACGGGAGGCAGCAGUAGGGAAUCUGCCGCAGUGGGCGAAAGCCUGACGGAGCAACGCCGCGUGAGUGAUGAAGGUGUUCGGAGCGUAAAACUCUGUUAUUAGGGAAGAACAUAUGUGUAAGUAACUGUGCACAUCUUGACGGUACCUAAUCAGAAAGCCACGGCUAACUACGUG
rnacentral:rRNA from 1 species